rnacentral:rRNA from 1 species
UAUGUAGGUGGCAAGCGUUGUCCGGAAUUAUUGGGCGUAAAGCGCGCGCAGGCGGUCCUUUAAGUCUGAUGUGAAAGCCCACGGCUCAACCGUGGAGGGUCAUUGGAAACUGGGGGACUUGAGUACAGAAGAGAAGAGUGGAAUUCCACGUGUAGCGGUGAAAUGCGUAGAGAUGUGGAGGAACACCAGUGGCGAAGGCGACUCUUUGGUCUGUAACUGACGCUGAGGCGCGAAAGCGUGGGGAGCAAACAGG